UCAUAUCUUCUUUUCUCUUGUUUGUUGUAUGAGAGGAUGCAAUUGUAAGACCCUGUGAUGUGGCAUUUGUAUUCUUAUGACCAUACUUUGGAGGUUGGUAUAAGUCCAGAUAGAUGGCAUCCGGUAUCAUUGUUUAUUUUAGGAGAUUGGUGUAAACCCAUUUGUUGGUAUCCGAUAUCCGCUUUUGCUUUUGUGAGAUUGGUAUAAGACCAUUGAUGGCAUCCGG
rnacentral:lncRNA from 1 species